CAAAGGGCCUGGCAGCGGAUCCCCCCUCACAUUGAAAGUGGGGAUGUGGCACUUGAAAGCAAUAAAUAUGUUCAAGGUCCACCGGCCUUGGUUCUUUCAACCGCGGCUGCCUAUGGGUCUCCUCGUUGCUCCCUUCGGUAAUUCGGGAGUCGAGCAGUGGUAUAAAGCUGCUACUUGUACAGGAUGAUAUCUCCAGUUUUGAAUGAAGUCAGCUUCUGCCACAAUAUUCACUAAAAGAAAUAACACCCUUUAAGUUCCGAAGCUAAUUGCAGCAUCAAACCGAAAGAGACAGCGUCUGGACUAUCGACCAUGGGCGAAAUAGCUGAAGUCCCCAAACAGGCGAAGGCCAUUGUCUAUGAUAACCCGGGAACCAUUUCUACGAAGGUCGUGACUGUGGAUGUGCCCGAGCCUGGUCCUGGAGAAGUCUUGAUUAAUCUGACUCACUCUGGCGUUUGUCACUCAGAUUAUGGCAUCAUGACUAAUAGGUGGAAAAACCUCCCGGCUCCAACAGCAGCCGGUCAAGUUGGUGGCCAUGAGGGUGUUGGAAAGGUCGUCAAACUCGGUCCGGGUAC
rnacentral:sRNA from 1 species